rnacentral:rRNA from 1 species
AUUGAACGCUAGCGGGAUGCCUUACACAUGCAAGUCGAACGGAGUGGCGAACGGGUGAGUAAUGUAUCGGAACGUGCCCAGUAGCGGGGGAUAACUACGCGAAAGCGUAGCUAAUACCGCAUACUAUUGGCGCGGCCGAUAUCGGCUUAGCUCGUUGGUGGGGGAACGGCUAACCAAGGCGACGAUCCGUAGCUGGUUUGCGAGGACGACCAGCCACACUGGGAAUUGAACACGGCCCAGACUCAUACGGGAGGCAGCAGUGGGGAAUUUUGGACAAUUGGGGAAACCCUGAUCCAGCCAUCCCGCGGGUGCGAUGAAGGCCUUCGGGUUGUAAAGCACUUUUGGCAGGAAAGCGGUACCUGCAGAAUAAGCACCGGCUAACUCCGUGCCAGCAGCCGCGGUAAUUC